GACGAACGCUGGCGGCGUGCUUAACACAUGCAAGUCGAACGGAAAGGCCCUGCUUUUGUGGGGUGCUCGAGUGGCGAACGGGUGAGUAACACGUGAGUAACCUGCCCUUGACUUUGGGAUAACUUCAGGAAACUGGGGCUAAUACCGGAUAGGAGCUCCUGCUGCAUGGUGGGGGUUGGAAAGUUUCGGCGGUUGGGGAUGGGCUCGCGGCUUAUCAGCUUGUUGGUGGGGUAGUGGCUUACCAAGGCUUUGACGGGUAGCCGGCCUGAGAGGGUGAACGGCCACAUUGGGACUACGGGACGGCCCAGACUGCAACAGGAGGCAACAGUGGGGAAUAUUGCACAGUGGGCGGAAGCCUGAUGCAGCAACGCCGCGGGCGGGAUGACGGCCUUCGGGUUGUAAACCGCUUUCGCCUGUGACGAAGCGUGAGUGACGGUAAUGGGUAAAGAAGCACCGGCUAACUACGUG
rnacentral:rRNA from 1 species